CUAUACAUGCAAGUCGAGCGGACUUUAAAAGCUUGCUUUUAAAGUUAGCGGCGGACGGGUGAGUAACACGUGGGCAACCUGCCUGUAAGACUGGGAUAACUUCGGGAAACCGGAGCUAAUACCGGAUAAUUCUUUCCCUCACAUGGUGGAAAGCUGAAAGACGGCAUCUCGCUGUCACUUACAGAUGGGCCCGCGGCGCAUUAGCUAGUUGGUGAGGUAACGGCUCACCAAGGCAACGAUGCGUAGCCGACCUGAGAGGGUGAUCGGCCACACUGGGACUGAGACACGGCCCAGACUCCUACGGGAGGCAGCAGUAGGGAAUCUUCCGCAAUGGACGAAAGUCUGACGGAGCAACGCCGCGUGAGUGAUGAAGGUUUUCGGAUCGUAAAGCUCUGUUGUUAGGGAAGAACAAGUACAAGAGUAACUGCUUGUACCUUGACGGUACCUAACCAGAAAGCCACGGCUAACUACGUGCCAGCAGCCGCGGUAAUAAAAA
rnacentral:rRNA from 1 species